rnacentral:rRNA from 1 species
AUUGAACGCUGGCGGCAGGCCUAACACAUGCAAGUCGAACGAGUGGCGGACGGGCGAGCAAUGUCUGGGAAACUGCCUGAUGGAGGGGGAUAACUACUGGAAACGGUAGCUAAAAACGCAUUCCAUCGGAUGUGCCCAGAGAGGUUUAGCUAGUAGGUGGGGUAAAGGCUCACCAGGGCGACUACACCUAGCUGGUCUGAGAGGAUGACCAGCCACACUGGAACUGAGACACGGUCCAGACUCCUACGGGAGGCAGCAUUGGGGAAUAUUGCACAAUGGGCGCAAGCCUGAUGCAGCCAUUCCCCGUGUAUGAAGAAGGCCUUCGGGUUGUAAAGUACUUUCAGCUGUGAGGCGUUACCCGCAGAAGAAGCACCGGCUAACUCCGUGCCAGCAGCCUCUGUCCUUC